UAACCGGCUUCGAAAGAGGCCGCUGAACGAUCAGAAGUCAGCCGAGGCCAUAGUACCUGUUAUUCUAGAGAACAGGGAAGGGC
rnacentral:ncRNA from 1 species